GGUCAAGUUAUUAAGGGUGCAGGGCGGAUGCCUUGGCACUAGGAGCCGAUGAAGGACGUGAUAAGCUGCGAUAAGCUUCGGGGAGUUGCACGUAAACUUUGAUCCGAAGAUUUCCGAAUGAGGAAACUCACUUAGAGUAAUGUCUAAGUAUCAUUAAGUGAAUACAUAGCUUAAUGAGGGGAACUCAGGGAACUGAAACAUCUAAGUACCUGAAGGAAGAGAAAGAAAUUCGAUUCCGUAAGUAGCGGCGAGCGAACGCGGAUUAGCCCAAACCAAUAAAGUUUUCUUUAUUGGGGUUGCGGACAUAUCAUAACGAAGAGGUAUCGUAAUUGAAGAGGUUUGGAAAGACCCACCACAGAAGGUAAUAGUCCUGUAUGUUAAACGAGAAGACUUCAGAUAUGAUCCAGAGUACCACGGGACACGUGAAACCCUGUGGGAAGCAGGAGGGACCACCCUCCAAGGCUAAAUACUACCUAGUGACCGAUAGCGUAUAGUACCGUGAGGGAAAGGUGAAAAGAACCCCGGGAGGGGAGUGAAAUAGAACCUGAAACCCUGCACUUACAAGCUGUGGAAGCACAUUUCUUGUGUGACCGCGUACUUUUUGUAGAACGGGCCAACGAGUUACGUUAAGUAGCAAGGUUAAGCACUUAAGGUGUGGAGCCGUAGCGAAAGCGAGUUUUAACUGAGCGUUCAGUUACUUGACGUAGACCCGAAACCGGGCGACCUACCCAUGAGCAGGAUGAAGCGAAAGUAAAAUUUCGUGGAGGUCCGAACCCACGAGCGUUGAAAAGCUCGGGGAUGACUUGUGGGUAGCGGUGAAAUUCCAAUCGAGCCCGGAGAUAGCUGGUUCUCCCCGAAAUAGCUUUAGGGCUAGCCUCAAGGUGAGAGAUACGGAGGUAGAGCACUGAAUGUCCUAGGGGGUAUUGCACCUACCGAAGACUAUCAAACUCCGAAUGCCGUCAUCUUAUACUUGGGAGUCAGACUGUGGGUGAUAAGAUUCAUAGUCGAAAGGGCAACAGCCCAGAUCGUCAGCUAAGGUCCCUAAAUGUAAGUUAAGUGGUAAAGGAUGUGGGAUUGCACAGACAACCAGGAUGUUGGCUUAGAAGCAGCCACUCAUUCAAAGAGUGCGUAAUAGCUCACUGGUCGAGUGAUCCUGCGCCGAAGAUUUCCGGGGCUAAAACUUACUACCGAAGCUACGGCAUCAGUAAUGAUGGGUAGGGGAGCUUCCCAUACGGGUUGAAGCAUGACCGUAAGGACAUGUGGACAGUAUGGGAGUGAGAAUGUUGGCAUGAGUAGCGAGAUGUGGGUGAGAAUCCCACAGGCCGUAAACCCAAGGUUUCCAGGGGAAGGUUCGUCCGCCCUGGGUUAGUCGGGACCUAAGCUGAGGCCGAAAGGCGUAGGUGAUGGACAACAGGUUGAU
rnacentral:rRNA from 1 species